rnacentral:rRNA from 1 species
AUUGAACGCUGGCGGCAGGCCUAACACACGCAAGUCGAGCGGAUGAAGGGAGCUUGCUCCUGGAUUCAGCGUCGGACGGGUGAGUAAUGCCUAUGAAUCUGCCUGGUAGUGGGGGAUAACGUCCGGAAACGGGCGCUAAUACCGCAUACGGCCUGAGGGAGAAAGUGGGGGAUCUUCGGACCUCACGCUAUCAGAUGAGCCUAGGUCGGAUUAGCUAGUUGGUGGGGUAAAGGCCUACCAAGGCGACGAUCCGUAACUGGUCUGAGAGGAUGAUCAGGCACACUGGAACUGAGACACGGUCCAGACUCCUACGGGAGGCAGCAGUGGGGAAGAUUGGAGAAUGGGAGAAAGCCUGAUACAGCCAUGCCGCGUGUGUGAAGAAGGUCUUCUGAUUGUAAAGCACUUUAAGUUGGGAGGAAGGGCAGUAAGUUAAUACCUUGCUGUUUUGACGUUACCAACAGAAUAAGCACGGGCUAAGUUCGUG